GGGGAUCUAGCUCAGUGGUAGAGCGCUUGCCUAGCAAGCGCAAGGCCCUGGGUUCAGUCCCCAGCUCCG
rnacentral:tRNA from 1 species